rnacentral:rRNA from 1 species
CGUAGGGUGCAGGCGUUAAUCGGAAUUACGUGGGCGUAAAGCGUGCGCAGGCGGCUCCUUAAGUCAGAUGUGAAACGCCCCGGGCUUAACCGUGGGAACUGCGUUUGAUACUGGAGGGGCUAGAGUGUGGAAGAGGGGGGUGGAAUUCCAGGUGUAGCAGUGAAAUGCGUAGAGAUCUGGAGGAACACCGAUGGCGAAGGCAGCCCCCUGGGCUAACACUGACGCUCAUGCACGAAAGCGUGGGGAGCAAACAGGAUUAGAUACCCUGGUAGUCCACGCCCUAAACGAUGUCAACUGGUUGUCGGGGAAGUAAUUCCUUGGUAACGAAGCUAACGCGUGAAGUUGACCGCCUGGGGAGUACGGCCGCAAGGCUA